CCGAAAAAUCUGCAACUUAGUCUACCAUACCAAAUUGAAAAUAUACAUAUACAUGUAGACCGUAAAACAGUAUUUAAAACAUUGAAAAUAUCAAAAAAUUUCGUGUAUAUAUUGUUUAAAAAUACAAAUCUGAAAUUAAGUUCACGUGUUUAAACUUCCGAUAAUCAAUACUUCGAGGCAACUCUUCAAAUAUCACUAAAGUUAGUCAAAUCUACUCAGCCUACUUACCAUAUUGGCAAUGAACGUGGAAGAGGAUCCCGAACCUGUGUGGCUGGAAACAGUUACUAUUGGCGGUUUUCGUGUUUGGCAUAUAAUUGCGAUUUGUCUGGGAAUAUCAUUAAGUAUAUUAAUUAUGGUCUGCUGUUGUAUACGAUUUCGGAUACCACGCACCAAACAGGAAAUAGAGGCAGAUUAUCAGCGUAAACAAAUCACGAAGAAAUUUCGAGAAAAACUUCAGCAAAUCAAAAAUUCUGACAUGGACGAAAUGGACCUGCAAAAAGCACUACAUUCUAUCAAAUUGGAAGAGUUUGAAGUGCCAUAACAUCCCUACACAUUCUCUACAUCCGCCUGCAUGUCUUUGCUUUGUGCUUGUAUAUGUCGGUCCUUUACAUACAUAUAUCAAGCGAUUUUAAACGAAAAUCCAUCGCGCAUAUUCAGGCGGAUUAUUUAUCGGCACAAAACAGCUGUGGCACCAGCGACGCUGACAAUACAACCAAAGAUCCAUAUGGC